AGGUUACUGCUAUCGGUGUUCGCCUAAGCCAUGCGAGUCAUAUGUUCUUCGUGAACAUGGCGUACUGCUCAGUAACACGUGGAUAACCUGCCCUUGGGUCCGGCAUAACCCCGGGAAACUGGGGAUAAUUCCGGAUAACGCAUAUAUGCUGGAAUGCUUUCUGCGUAAAAUGGAUUCGUCUGCCCAAGGAUGGGUCUGCGGCCUAUCAGGUAGUAGUGGGUGUAAUGUACCUACUAGCCGACGACGGGUACGGGUUGUGAGAGCAAGAGCCCGGAGAUGGAUUCUGAGACAUGAAUCCAGGCCCUACGGGGCGCAGCAGGCGCGAAAACUUUACAAUGCGGGAAACCGUGAUAAGGGGACACCGAGUGCCAGCAUCCUAUGCUGGCUGUCCGGGUGUGUAAAAUACACCUGUUAGCAAGGGCCGGGCAAGACCGGUGCCAGCCGCCGCGGUAACACCGGCGGCCCGAGUGGUGAUCGUGAUUAUUGGGUCUAAAGGGUCCGUAGCCGGUUUGGUCAGUCCUCCGGGAAAUCUGACAGCUUAACUGUUAGGCUUUCGGAGGAUACUGCCAGACUUGGAACCGGGAGAGGUAAGAGGUACUACAGGGGUAGGAGUGAAAUCUUGUAAUCCCUGUGGGACCACCUGUGGCGAAGGCGUCUUACCAGAACGGGUUCGACGGUGAGGGACGAAAGCUGGGGGCACGAACCGGAUUAGAUACCCGGGUAGUCCCAGCCGUAAACGAUGCUCGCUAGGUGUCAGGCAUGGCGCGACCGUGUCUGGUGCCGCAGGGAAGCCGUGAAGCGAGCCACCUGGGAAGUACGGCCGCAAGGCUGAAACUUAA
rnacentral:rRNA from 1 species